AACGAACGCUGGCGGCAUGCCUAACACAUGCAAGUCGAACGAGACCUUCGGGUCUAGUGGCGCACGGGUGCGUAACGCGUGGGAACCUGCCCUUAGGUUCGGAAUAACUCCCCGACAGGGGUGCUAAUACCGGAUAAUGUCUUCGGACCAAAGAUUUAUCGCCUUUGGAUGGGCCCGCGUUGGAUUAGCUAGUUGGUAGGGUAAAAGCCUACCAAGGCGACGAUCCAUAGCUGGUCUGAGAGGAUGAUCAGCCACACUGGGACUGAGACACGGCCCAGACUCCUACGGGAGGCAGCAGUGGGGAAUAUUGGACAAUGGGCGGAAGCCUGAUCCAGCAAUGCCGCGUGAGUGAUGAAGGCCUUAGGGUUGUAAAGCUCUUUUACCCGGGAUGAUAAUGACAGUACCGGGAGAAUAAGCUCCGGCUAACUCCGUG
rnacentral:rRNA from 1 species